ACACAUGCAAGUCGAGGGGAAACGACAUCGAAAGCUUGCUUUUGAUGGGCGUCGACCGGCGCACGGGUGAGUAACGCGUAUCCAACCUGCCCACCACUUGGGGAUAACCUUGCGAAAGUAAGACUAAUACCCAAUGAUAUCUCUAGAAGACAUCUGAAAGAGAUUAAAGAUUUAUCGGUGAUGGAUGGGGAUGCGUCUGAUUAGCUUGUUGGCGGGGUAACGGCCCACCAAGGCGACGAUCAGUAGGGGUUCUGAGAGGAAGGUCCCCCACAUUGGAACUGAGACACGGUCCAAACUCCUACGGGAGGCAGCAGUGAGGAAUAUUGGUCAAUGGACGAGAGUCUGAACCAGCCAAGUAGCGUGCAGGAAGACGGCCCUAUGGGUUGUAAACUGCUUUUAUAAGGGAAUAAAGUGAGUCUCGUGAGACUUUUUGCAUGUACCUUAUGAAUAAGGACCGGCUAAUUCCGUGCCAGCAGCCGCGGUAAUACGGAAGGUCCGGGCGUUAUCCGGAUUUAUUGGGUUUAAAGGGAGCGUAGGCCGGAGAUUAAGCGUGUUGUGAAAUGUAGACGCUCAACGUCUGCACUGCAGCGCGAACUGGUCUUCUUGAGUACGCACAACGUGGGCGGAAUUCGUGGUGUAGCGGUGAAAUGCUUAGAUAUCACGAAGAACUCCGAUUGCGAAGGCAGCUCACGGGAGCGCAACUGACGCUGAAGCUCGAAAGUGCGGGUAUCGAACAGGAUUAGAUACCCUGGUAGUCCGCACGGUAAACGAUGGAUGCCCGCUGUUGGCCUGAAUAGGUCAGCGGCCAAGCGAAAGCAUUAAGCAUCCCACCUGGGGAGUACGCCGGCAACGGUGAAACUCAAAGGAAUUGACGGGGGCCCGCACAAGCGGAGGAACAUG
rnacentral:rRNA from 1 species